rnacentral:sRNA from 1 species
GCAGCACGCCAUGCGUCGGUUGGUUUCGCCUGGAAAACUUGGGGAAAUUGCAGCCAUCGGUUCGGGGAAAGCGAACCUGUCGCCUAGCAUAUCACAACCGAUGCUGAUGGCGAUGAUCGUGUGGUUGAUGAUGGCGACGGUGAUGAUGAUGGUGCGGCUGCCACACACAAGCUAGACCGAAUCCCCAGCAACCAGUAGGAUGCCAUGUGUACAGUGGCUUCCAUGUCUAUGGAUUCAAGUUACAUUUUAUUUUCUUACGUAUAUUUUAUGGUCUGCCCUACGUACUAUAUGUACGUCGCGCACUGUACUAGAAACCUUUCGCCUGGGAAAGGACUUCCCACUUAAUGUGUGUGCGUGACCGAGAAUCCGGAGGCUACAAGACCGCAACCAUAAAAGACAUAAUAAUCGUAAUAAGCCGAGGCCCAAGAAAGCAACUCCAAGGACUACGGAUAGUGGCUAACAUUGUUUCUCGCAGUGCACUGAGAGAAUCGGAGUUAGUAGCCCGUUGGCCCGAAGGCACCGACUGAAUGCGAAUGAGAUGCAAUGAAAGCCGAGGCAGUGGAAAAUCGGGAGGUAAAGCCAACAUUGCAUGUUGCAUCGCAAAUGGAGAUUAUUUAUGAAACAUGUAUUUGUGGAAAUUCACGAAAGUCUGCCCCACCCACGCUGCAAGUACACUGAGAAAUAUUGGCACAGAAUCAACGAAAUAUUCUGUACUAAAAGGCAUUUUCAAUGAAAUA